UACCAGGGUGAAUCCAACCGUCGAUGA
rnacentral:sRNA from 1 species